UUAUAAAUUGAGUAAGAAUAAAUAUUAAAAACAAUCUCGUGAACAAAAUAAUAACACGAAUGAACUAAAAAAAUAUAGACAUGAACAAAUCUUAUUAAUCCAUGAACAAAAAAAAAUCUGUAACAUACACAUUUAUUCUUUCUCAUAAAAAAUCAAAUUAAUAGCUUCUGUCAAUAUUCUUACAUUUAUUGACGCAUAAGUUUGAGUUCAACACUAAAAUACCCCAAUGAUAAAAGAAAAAAGAAAAAAGAAAAAAAUCAAAUAUCAAUAUCCAUACUCUGAUCAUACUUUGAAUUUGCCUCAUCCAAGCAACACGAAGUUAGCUUUGAAUUCACAACUCGCGAUAAUCCGCAGAUGCAGAUUUCAAAAGGUCUUCCUUCACAUAGUUGUAUUCACAAAUUAGAAUUGCAGCGUAAUAUCUAACUCGCAUACGACUUAUUUGUCGUGGUGACGAAGAUGAUAUUCCACAUUUUCAGCUUGCGGGUCCAUGUCCCAUAAACUUCUCUAAAUGCCGCAAAAAAACAAAAUUAUAUAGCAUUACAAUAUUAUAAAUAGCCACAUAAAAUCAUAUAAAUGAAAAAAGUAUAAGUUAAUAAGUAAACAACUAAAAUGAAUAAAUAAAACAAUCGAG
rnacentral:lncRNA from 1 species